rnacentral:rRNA from 1 species
CACCGCCCGUCACACGAUGAGAGCUGCUUGUACCCAAAGUCACUUUAGCUAACCCGUAAGGGAGGCGAGUGCCUAAGGUAUGGGUAGUGAUUGUGGUG